ACGAUGAAGAGUUUGAUCCUGGCUCAGGAUGAACGCUAGCGGCAGGCUUAACACAUGCAAGUCGAGGGGUAACAUUUUGUGCUUGCACAAAGAUGACGACCGGCGCACGGGUGCGUAACGCGUAUAGAACCUACCUUUAACUGGAGGAUAGCCCAGAGAAAUUUGGAUUAAUACUCCAUGGUAUCGAUUAAUGGCAUCAUUGAUUGAUUAAAGAUUUAUUGGUUAGAGAUGGCUAUGCGUUCUAUUAGCUAGUUGGUAUGGUAACGGCAUACCAAGGCAACGAUAGAUAGGGGUCCUGAGAGGGAGAUCCCCCACACUGGUACUGAGACACGGACCAGACUCCUACGGGAGGCAGCAGUGAGGA
rnacentral:rRNA from 1 species